UCUCUAUGGUGAUAUAUAUUUUUUCUUUACUCUAACUUAGGAGAAAGAAAAAUUGAUCAAAGAUCUCCUUAACAAAAUUGGCUCAGAGAUAGGAAGCACCAAGUGUGAAGAGGUUGAAGCAAAUGCAACUCAACUUGCUAAUGACAAGAAAAUCUGCAAUCCCAAUAAGAAGUGCAAGUUAAAACAACAGCCUUUAGGUCGUACCACUUUGGUUCAUCAAGUGGCAUCAGAGGGAAAGGUUGAUGGUAGAAGGAAAAUAUUGCCUUGUUGAAGCUUCUUGCAGAAAAGAAGUAUGUAAAUUGUAAAAAAAUUACUUCUUGACUGAAAAAUAGUCCGUCGAAAUUCUUGGACCAGCUAUCGAUUGAUAUGGUUUGAUCUGUUGUUUGUUUUGGCAGCAAAAUCAUAGAACUGAGUAGCACUGAGUUGCAAGAUUGCAAGAAGAUCCUACAGCGAUCGGAGGAAAUCUUUAGACACUAUGGAUUUGUAAAUCCGGACACCUAUUCUUUCCUUAAACCAUACGUUCAUCAUCCCCUUUCUACUCCCACCGAUAGUUGUCUUAGUAACUCCAUGCUUAUGUUUCAUAUGACAUAACAGCAAAGUAACUUGCCAAUUCUGCAAUCCACGCAAUUAAUAUUA